rnacentral:rRNA from 1 species
UGGGGGAAUUUUGGACAAUGGGGGGCAACCCUGAUCCAGCCAUGCCGCGUGCAGGAUGAAGGUCUUCGGAUUGUAAACUGCUUUUGUCAGGGACGAAAAGGACUGUGCUAAUACCACGGUCUGCUGACGGUACCUGAAGAAUAAGCACCGGCUAACUACGUGCCAGCAGCCGCGGUAAUACGUAGGGUGCAAGCGUUAAUCGGAAUUACUGGGCGUAAAGCGUGCGCAGGCGGUUCUGUAAGACAGAUGUGAAAUCCCCGGGCUUAACCUGGGAAUUGCAUUUGUGACUGCAGGACUAGAGUUCGUCAGAGGGGGUGGAAUUCCAAGU